rnacentral:rRNA from 1 species
GACCGGGACGGACGAACCUCUGGUGUGCCAGUUGUACCGCCAGGUGCACUGCUGGUUGGCUACGUUCGGCAGGGAUAACCGCUGAAAGCAUCUAAGCGGGAAGCUCGCUUCGAGAUGAGGUCUCUCACCGGGUCAACCGGGUAAGGCCCCCGCCCAGACCAGCGGGUUGAUAGGCCGGAAGUGGAAGCACCGCAAGGUGUGGAGCUGACCGGUACUAAUAGGCCGAGGGCUUGACCAC